GCCUACAGCCACACCACCCUGAAUGCACCCGAUCCCGUCCGAUCUCGGAAGUUAAGCAGGGUCGGGCCUGGUUAGUACUUGGAUGGGAUUCCGCCUGGGAAUACUGGGUGCGGUAGGCA